AGGACGAACGCUGGCGGCGUGCUUAACACAUGCAAGUCGAGCGGUGUAUCCUCCUUCGGGAGGUGAUCAGCGGCGAACGGGUGAGUAACACGUGGGCAACCUGCCCCUCACACUGGGAUAACCUCGGGAAACCGGGGCUAAUACCGGAUACGACCUCGAGCGGCAUCUCUUGAGGUGGAAAGCUCCGACGGUGAGGGAUGGGCCCGCGGCCUAUCAGCUUGUUGGUGGGUAAUGGCCUACCAAGGCGACGACGGGUA
rnacentral:rRNA from 1 species